CCUACGGGAGGCAGCAGUGGGGAAUAUUGGGCAAUGGGCGAAAGCCUGACCCAGCGACGCCGCGUGAAGGAAGAAGGCUUUCGGGUUGUAAACUUCUAUCGACAGGGAAGAGCAGAGAACGGUACCUGUCGAAUAGGCCACGGCGAACUACGUGCCAGCAGCCGCGGUAAUAGGUAGGUGGCAAGCGUUUUCCGGAUUUACUGGGGGUAAAGGGCGUGUAGACGGGUUGACAAGUCAGAAGUGAAAUCCGGGGGCUCAACCCUCGAACUGCAUUUGAAACUGUUGGGCUUGAGUAUCGGAGAGGCAGGCGGAAUUCCUAGUGUAGCGGUGAAAUGCGUAGAUAUUAGGAGGAACACCAGUGGCGAAGGCGGCCUGCUGGACGACAACUGACGGUGAGGCGCGAAAGCGUGGGGAGCAAACAGGAUUAGAUACCCGGGUAGUC
rnacentral:rRNA from 1 species